GAGGGUCGGUAUGGUCAGAGAAGACCGUAUUGGUCGUCGGGAUUUCAGGGAGAAGGGGUAGGGGUCAUCAACAAACCCUACUGAGGUUGGGGUGUGCCGGAUCUUGCGCUGCAUGCCUCAAAUCCAAAGACAAGUUCCUUUUUUAAAUUGUUUUCUUUAAUGGUGGCUUAGAUUUUCUAAUUGUUUAGUAUGUUAGGCCCGGUUUUGGGGGAUUUGUGAUUUUAUAGAGAGAGAUGGAUAGGGAGAUAAAGAUUGACAGAGGGAGGAGAAAGCAUGGCUGUGUGCAUUUUUUUGGGGUUAAUUAAUGGGUUAGUGCGCAGGGUCAGUGAGGAGAGUGACAGAGGGGUGCAUUUUUAAAUUGUUAAAACCAUAUUUCGAAUUUUUUGGUUUCACUGUGCUCAUUUUUGUGCUUCUUGAUAAUUUCCUGGUGUUUGCUUCUCAUCGCUCUGUUGGUGAGCUAUAUGAACGUUGUUUUGAAACACAGAGCUUGAUCCCCUCGAAUCUGCAAUUCAUAGCAGCAGGCUUGGGUGACCCUUGGUAGAGCACAGUUAAACUUUGGGGAGGCUGAUAGUGCCAUUCAAAGCUUCGACAGAGCAUUAGCCAUCAAGGAUGCAACAGAACACAUGGGAGAAGUUUUGAAACGAGUUAAGAAGAUCCAGCUGAAAAGAGCAUACAAGAUAGGGAAUUGGUGGAGGCUUCGACUAAUCAGCUGGCUGAUCAGCAGAUGCCAGUGUAUAAUCUUGCAUCGAAGAUUCUUUGUCGGGUUAUCAAUGUAUCAUUGAAGGCUGAACCAGACACUGAUGAAGUAUUUGCACAAGUAACUUUACUUCCCGAAUCAAAUGUAAGUUGUUGGCUUGAGGAUUCUGAUUUAUUGUGGGCGGGUAAAACUGAUUAUGGGUUGAGAUUCGGAUGGUUUGAUGUUAUAAAUUUUAGCAAGAUGACAAUGCAGAGGAGAAGGAAAAAACAUAGGGCACGCGUCCUUAAAUGGGAAAACACUUUGGUUAGGCAAAGCCAAAUUAAGGAAGAGAAUAGGUAGAGGCUAAAACAUAAUCAAGUGGAAAUUUUAGGUACAAAAUGUGGAGUGAGUCAAGAAAUUAUACAAUGGUGUCCAACUGCUUUCCACCACGGCCACUUUAAAAGGCUUAGUUCUUUUUCCAAGUGAAGAAAUAAAAUGGCACUUGAAUCAUAGAAAUAUUAACAUCUAUACUCAAUUUAAAAAAACUUCAUAUUUGAAAGUUAAAAAAACACAUCAGCACACACUUGGAAAUAGUUGGAAAUAUUGGCAAACCUCACAAUAUAUAUGCACGCUUUAGCGAUAUUUAUAAUGAGGAUAUUUAUAUAAGCAAACCUCACUUAUGCCCUGUACACAUUCUACUGUUUAAGUAAUGAAGAAAACUAUUCUCAAUGUCUCUAGCUAUUCAUUUAUUAUCUUCAAUGAUUUGGAAACCUGCUACUAUAGUUUUCAGAGUGGUUAUGUCACACUCUGCUAUUCUUCCUGUAAAAAUGGGGAAGGUUUGCAUGGCUGUCACUCUUCCAACAGGUCAGUGGGUCUCUGGUUAGAACUUCAGUCUACAAGGUUUGUGGCUGAUCAGAAGCUGCCUUAUUUGGAUUUUGCUGGAAGAAGGUUUCGAAUCGGAUGAUUGGAAGACAAAAAGGUUAUAAUUGUUAUGACUGGAUUGAGCAUGCUCAAUGCAGGCAUCCCAAAUCAAUUACUACAAACCCUAUUCAAGGUGAAGGGUGUUGUACACUAUGGAAUUGCAGGAAAUGCAGAUCCCCAACUCGAAAUUGGAGAUGUCACCAUCCCUCAAUUUUGGGCUCAUACAGGCCUUUGGAAUUGGCAGGAAGUGGAGAGCAAUCUGUCUCAGUUUUGGAUACUGGAAUCAAAGAAGCUAACUCAAGCUGUUGUUUCAAAGCUGGAGGAGGCAUUGUGGAUUAAUAAUAGGAAAUAUGAUGCUUUGUGGUGCUGGGAAUGAGGCAAAGGUUCCAAAAGGUGUUGCAGUGCUUCCUAAAGGCUUUCAAUGAGUUUGUGCAGAGAAGAGUAUCUCAUUACCAGGAACUCAAUCCAACAGAAAAUUUACUACUCUUAAAAGCAUUUUGUGAACUCCAAGCUCAAGUCAAUCCUUAAUUUUCAUCUACUUUUUAUUUCUCUAUGUCUAGGUGAUUUACAUGGUUUGUAACCAUUAAAUCACCCAACUUUAUAUUUACAAUUGUGUUUCUGAUUGUUGAUGUCAAUUAAAAUACUAUUAUUCAGGUUAUUAGAUUUUAUGCUAUAUGUUAACAUAUUCAUUUUAAUAAUUACCACUUGCUUUGAUGCAUAGAAAAUGCUAAUUCUAUGGCAAGAAAAUAGUCUUAUUUCCUGUUUAAUAAAACUCAUAAUUAGAGAAACUGUUUGAAGAGAAUGAUACAUAAUUAUUCAUGCAAUUUGUAAUCCCGCAGCAACGUGCGGGCAUUACUAGCUAGUUAUAUAUACUAGAACUCAGUUGAGUUUUAGCACUGUUCAGCAAUAGUAAAAGGGUGGAAAUGCCCUUGAUUUGUUUGGGGUUUAGGUGCUGCUGAAUUGCUUUGUAUAGCUAAAUGUCAUUUUUGCCCAACUAGGUGGGCUGUCUUCAGCUGCCCGAAAAGUCCUUCGCCUUUUUUUAUCUCGCCUGUUGCAGGGAUAAGGUGAGAAUUGACCGUGCCACGUGUUGGUGAUCGUGUUGGGUACUUUUUGGGGUUUAUUUUACUUCCUUUUCCUUUUGGUUUGUUUCUCUCGCCGUUCUCAUCAAUUUUCUACCUAUCUCAAACUGCUCUCUCAUCUUUUCAUCUCUCUCCCAAAUUAUCUGUGUGAAAUCAGUGAGCCUGUUUUUGGUUGCUGGAAAAAAGUUUGGUUGUUACAAAUUUCUUGCGUUCAAAAUCCCUCAAUCGCUACGAAUUUUGUUCCUCUUUUUGGAUUUCAGAAUCAAUGUUUUGGGUCAGAGGUCUACAGUUACUGGAAACCGGCUGAAGUUAAAUUUCUGCGGCUUGGUUCUGCUCCUUGGGUCGCUGCCCUGGAGAUUAAAUUAUCAAAAUUUGGUGUUUCCACGUUGCCGAUUCCAAGUGGUUGUUGCUGAGAGGAUCAAAUUGAAGGAAAAGAAAAUCAAGUAUACGAAUGAGUUAGAAAGUAAGGUGUGACUAUUUCGAAGCACCUGUGAUGCUGCUGUUAUAUUUUGGAAAUGAGAGGAGUCGUUGGAAUUUUAGAAAGCUUUGUGUUUCUGCCUUUUAUGUGACAGAGGGAAUACGGACAGGGAGUGGAAGACAGAAAACAUUAGUUUAGAUUGCAAUUUUAAAAGUUUUUAUGUUGUUAAUGCUGGAACCUAUGUAAAGUUAUUAGGAUUUUGGAAAGCUUUGUCUUUCUCAGUUUUAUCUGCCGGAGGGAACACAACUCUUACAUAUAUGAUUUCAAGUUGUCCCCCUAGAAAUUCAAGCUCUGUUGAAUACAUGAGGUGUAAGAAACUGUUUGGGAUAUUUUCAAGUUUUUCUGAUUCCUGAAAAAAAAGCAUGCUUAAGAGUAAUUAUAUUUUAAUUUUUAUUGAAUUCAGGUAACCAUCUUUAGAUUUUUUUGCUUUGAUUUGAAGAAUUCCUUACCCUGGAAAGCCAGGGCUUCCUGAUGAGUUCUUUGGGUUCCAUAUCUGGCGUCUUUGUUUUGUUCAAAUUUGGGGCGUUUGUGAUUUGGGAUUUAUAUACUGUCUUAUCAACUCUUAAUGUUGAAUUAAGAUUUGUGAUUUGGGGCGUUUGUAGAUGCGGGUGGUAUAAAUUUUUACUUAAAAAAUUGAACUUGAAAUGAAAACCCAGGUGAAAAAGCAUGGAAACAACUCUUGCGUAGAAAUGACUUUGGGAAUGAAUUUUCUUGACAUUUGAUCCCGGCUAUUUGAUAAGAGUCAGGUUUUAUAACUCAAAAAUUUUAGGAGGCAUCGUCAAGUUUUCUCCUCCUCCGAACCACCGUUUUCAUGGAAGGACGAUCCAUCGAGUGUCACUGGAUGCAUCCGAGCCCUAAAAUUGCAAGUUGCUUUAGAAUCUUACCAUCCUCUUCUUCCUCAAUAUGGAUUCGCUGGUCAUCUCCUUCCUCUAUCAGAUUAUAAAUCCAUUUUGGAUGGUUGAUUUCAUAUGUCGUGUCCUCUGUGGUUGAACCAAUAUUCUUCUUUCCUCCUAUCAUCUCAAGCAGCAGCAUUCAAGACAUCUGCCUUGUAAGACACAUUUCGAAAAUUCCAAGCUCUUCCCCGUCGCCCUUGGAAUUCUUAUUUACUUUCGUUUUAUCAGCGAUAUAGGCAUGAUAUGCCACAAUGAUCAGCAGUAACAGAACAAAUGAACGCAGGGUUGCUCCUGCAAAUGGAUAGAUACUAUCCACCAGUAAACAUUUAUUCUCGAGUGUCCUUUGGACAUGAAACAAAGCUAAACACCAGUCCUACACAACUCACCCUUGCAAACGUCUUUGUUUUGCCUGCAAAGGAUUGUUGCGAAAAUUACUGUCAUUUCUCAAAACUAGUCAAUAUCGUUACCACAAAUCUAAGCCGCUAAUUACAUGAAAGCAGAAAAAUCAGAGCAUGUAGCAGAGUUGCUGAUCAUCAUCAUUAAAAACAUCAUGAGCAGAAUAGAUGCGAAAUAAGAUUUAGACGCGUUAUCCUUACUUGGUUUCCUCCCGUCAACAAAUUCAAUUUCGCUCUUGGUGCCAUUGUUCUUCAAUCUACACCUCUUGCCCUCUGCUUGAUACAAUUUGGUUUAGACCAUUUGAAAUGAAGAGUUUUAAUUGCAUUUAUUUUUCCAGAGGCAAUGAGCAAUGGAAUAAGGUAACGUUUUAUUUACCAAAAUGCCUCUUCUUUUUCCAAUGAUAUUUUUGGGCCGGGGGUCUGGGUUAGGCCCUUUAGGCCGUGUAUUUGUUUGGGUUGUGUACAUUUGGGCUGUUAAAUAGUGGGUUUUAGUCUGAAAAGGACUUUAUUACCCAUUUUAAUUUGAGAUCUAAAGGCAGAAAAUAAAAGUUGGAUGGGCAUUAUUGUCAGUUUACGUUUAGGAGGGGUGGGUGUGGCUAUCGAAGGAAAUUGGUUGGAUUCGGUGAGGGAGGCUUAUAGGGAGGAUAAGUCCAUGAAAUCCAUGGAAUCGGUGACGGAGGCUUACUGAGAGUUGGUUGGAUUGUGUGAUGCGGUCAGGGGAAAUUACAGAGAGGGAAAUAGAAAGGGAGGAAGGGGUAUGAUGAGUAGAUUUUAUAUUAUAUAUUUAUCUCUAUUCUUAGUAUAUUUUUAUUAUUAUUUUUGAAGAAUUUUGAUAUUUUGAAUUGUAUUUUCAAUAUAGGAUUUUCGAUUUCCUUUGGAGCAAAACAUGAUCAAAUGGAUAAAUUUUGGAGUAAUUCCAGUUGGAGGACGUUCGUGAGUCACUUGGCUUGAUUGUGUCAAAAUUUGGAAUUUUUCUACCAAUUGGUGAUUUUCUGGCGAUAGAAUAAAGGAGCAGUGCACUGGCAAAGUGACGUUUUGGGCUUGAAUUGCGUUUUUGGAGCCCAAAAUGACCUUUGAUGGGUUCGUGGCCCUCUGGAGAUGUGUUCAAAGCAUCCCGAUCUUUAAAACAAGCUAUGAUGGGCUGGAUUUGGAGGAUAUUUGAGGGUAAAAUGUGGUUGGACAGUUACUUGGUAGAUUCUCCUAACUUAAUUAGGACUUUAUUUUUUAAGAUAUUUUAUUAUUAUUUAGUUUCCUAGUGGGAAUAAAAGAUUUUGUUUUCUA